GCCGGGCGUGGUGCUGGGCGCCUGUAAUCCCAGCUACUCAGGAGGCUGAGACAGGAGAAUUGCUUGAACCCAGGAGGCAGAGGUUGCAGUGAGCCGAGAUCACGCCACUGCAUUCCAGCCUGGGUGACAGAGCAAGACUUGGUCUCAA
rnacentral:SRP_RNA from 1 species